UAUUAAUGCAUAAUGUCAUUUCUGGAACUCUUCCAACAGUUAUGGGUCACAAUGACAAUAUGCCACUCCAUUGGCUGAGCACUUGUUUGCAACAAUGAGCUACACAUGUUGGCCAAUACUGCCACAAUUUAACGCUUCUGUUCCUCUUGGCACAUCUGAAUGGGUGGCAUCUGGUCCAAAUUUUGGGUCCCUUUGAGGAUGCGUGAUAGGUAACUCUCAUCUGGAUAGCAGAGACACUUGACCAGCCAAUUACGUAUUCUGGAAUCCAGGAAGUUUAUGUAGGGAGCUUAAACGGAAGAUGCGUCUGAGAAACUCCCAUCAAGAGCACAUCCCAGCUUUUCAACGAUUGUAUAAGCCAGCGUUUGUUAAGUGCUUCCUCUGUCCCAGGAACUCUUUCAAGUGUUUUACGUGUAGUAACUCUUUUCAUAUAUGACCAUCUUAUGAAGUUACUGUGCGUAGCUCCUAGUGGGAUCGCUGGCGUCUACCAGCUUUUCAACUACUAUGGCUCUUCCACCCUGAUCAAAAUCUGCUCCUUCCCCUACUGCCUGGUUGUUGACACUGUAAAGAGACCAGUAACUGAUAACACGAAAUCCCCAGUAUAAACUCUUAUAAGGAUAGUUCCUAGAUCUGUUCUAUGUUUCAGGCACGUACAGCAUUACCACCAGCGCCUCCUCUACCUCAUUGCUCACCCGCCUCUCUGACCCCUGCACAAAUCUCUGUCCAGCAGUCUCACUGGAUGUAAGAAGAAAGGCACAACUGUGGAACAGUGGGGUAGGAUGAGGAAGCAGCAUUCUGGCUGUCUCCAGAAAGCAGUAUCCACACAUUAAAGGGAUGCUUUUACUCUCUUAGUUGGUAUAAUCUUUGUAGUUCCACCCAGUAGACAGACAUUGAGAGAAUGGCAGGCUUCCUAAAAUCUCUAAGUCAAAUUCUCAGUUUUCUGAAAUUAUG
rnacentral:lncRNA from 1 species